rnacentral:rRNA from 1 species
UGCAGUCGAGGGGUAUUAGGAGCUUGCUCCUAAGAGACCGGCGCACGGGUGCGUAACGCGUAUGCAAUCUACCUUGUACAGAGGAAUAGCCCAGAGAAAUUUGGAUUAAUGCCUCAUAGUAUAUUGGGUCGGCAUCGACCUAUUAUUAAAGAUUUAUCGGUACAAGAUGAGCAUGCGUCCCAUUAGUUAGUUGGUAAGGUAACGGCUUACCAAGACGAUGAUGGGUAGGGGUCCUGAGAGGGAGAUCCCCCACACUGGUACUGAGACACGGACCAGACUCCUACGGGAGGCAGCAGUGAGGAAUAUUGGGCAAUGGAGGCAACUCUGACCCAGCCAUGCCGCGUGCAGGAAGACGGUCCUAUGGAUUGUAAACUGCUUUUAUACGGGAAGAAACACUCCGACGUGUCGGAACUUGACGGUACCGUAAGAAUAAGGAUCGGCUAACUCCGUGCCAGCAGCCGCGGUAAUACGGAGGAUCCAAGCGUUAUCCGGAAUCAUUGGGUUUAAAGGGUCCGUAGGCGGCCUUAUAAGUCAGUGGUGAAAUCUCCUAGCUCAACUAGGAAACUGCCAUUGAUACUGUAGGGCUUGAAUUAUUGUGAAGUAACUAGAAUAUGUAGUGUAGCGGUGAAAUGCUUAGAUAUUACAUGGAAUACCAAUUGCGAAGGCAGGUUACUAACAAUCGAUUGACGCUGAUGGACGAAAGCGUGGGUAGCGAACAGGAUUAGAUACCCUGGUAGUCCACGCCGUAAACGAUGGAUACUAGCUGUUGGGAGCAAUCUCAG